UUCCUUAAAUCCAAUUGAUUCCGUCAAGAUGUAGUCAUACUGCACUUAAUGGCCGCUUAACCCACUUUCUGGGGUCGUAACUUGAAAGAGUUUGUUAUACAUUGUUGACGCUUCCAUGGUGGUCGCUUCGUACACCUCUGUUCUAGUUGUUUAAAUUAGGCUAUGGUUCUUAUUUUUGGUUCCUUAAAUCAUUCGGUUCUUGUCGAGUCUGUUCUCAUCUUCGUCGUUACAAGCAAACGUUGAUAUAUGCAAAUCACUGAUCAUGGGUGUUAUAUGCUUCAUUAUACUAAUGCCUUGUGUUCUACUUGGUUAUGGUCCAUUUGUUCCCCCGUGUCCUGACUUUUUCUGGAGGUGGGUUCCUGCUACUAGUAACCUUGCUUCGUGGUUGGUUACUCAUGGGUUAUUUAGUUUUUCUCGUGGUAGAAGAUAGUUCCAUGAUGGCUUAUGAAUCCCUUAGUGUAGGUAUUCUUUGCUUCUCAUGAGGAUUGUAUUGCUUGUUGGUUAAUAUGUUAGGGUGGUUCUCUAAUUGACUUUCUUGGUAUCAAGUUCGUGUUCAAACUCUUCCAUUAUUUCUAUAUUUGUUAAAAUUUACAAACCCUAAGCUAGUUGACUUUAAGGUUUAGGGUUGAAGUAGCCCUUAGUGUUAGGUUUGUUUUGAUGAUGUUUGAUUGGGCUAUAUUCACUACAAGAAAUAUUGCAUAUUGCCAGGAAAUAAUGCCAGGAGCAAGAAUCCCUGGCAAAUUGAAAUGGAACGCUUUUAGCAAAAACAGGGGUGUGCCCCUCGCAAAUUGCAAGCAGCCCCUGGCUUAUUAUUUCCCCUUUAUUUUAUUUUUUUAACAAAACACCACACAUUCUUUUAUCUCUUCUUUUACACCAAUUGUUAUCACACAUUCUCUCUCCAAAACAACAGCAUCGUACGCUUCUCUUCUUCUUCUCCAUGAUAACCACCACCACCAACUUCCAGCCACAGCUACUUCUCCGUCCGACCUCCUUUGACAACCCCACCACAACCAUUAAAUUCCUUUCUUCUUCCUCUUCAAUAACCACUAAUUUAUUUUUAGAUUGGUGAGAGUUUGAAAUACCCAAAUCACCACCUUCUCUCUUACUUUCCGGCCACCAUUGACCUCAUUUGGAUAAACAAAGCUGAUAACCUUAUUCUCUAUUAUGUCCACAACCAAAACCCCCAAUUUAUUUCGGGAUUGGAGAACUUUGACCGGCGACCACCGCGUUGGAAACCUCAGCAGCCGUACCGGAAUUCCUGCCGCCGUGUUAGAAAACUCAUUUGUAGAAUUUUAUCCUUUUUCUUCAUUUGGGGCUGUCAAUUUAUAGAACAGAAAAGAUGGUGGAUCCAUAUGUAUGAUGGUAAUUUCUGUAGCAUUUGAUUGAUAUAGGACAGUGGCUGCAUUUAUGUUAAAUGGAUUCAAAUAGAACAUAUCUUUGAAGUCUUUCAGUAGCAUUUGAUUUUAGUGUUGACUCUGUUUGAUUUUAGUGUUGACUAUGUAGAGAAAUGUGAAUUUAGAACAAAACUUGUUGUAGGUAAUUGUCUUUCAUAUCUUUGCUUCAAACACUUGGAACAUUUAGAUGCCAGUAUAGUCAUUUGUGAACUUAGCUAAGGAUCCGUGAACCAUCAGAGUUGAGAGGAACUUUGGUGUAGUUAGUAACAGGGUCACGAAAAUUCAAGUAUCAUCAUAUUGUUAGAAGAAUUGCAAAGUUGUAAUUCUUAAAUUUUCAAACUCUUAUCUGAUAUGUUAUCUUCAGAUGGGAAACUACGUAAGGAAAAAUGAAUUGAAAAAGCGCAGAGAAAAGGAUUUGAUAGAAGACUUGCUACUAUACAAGUAUCUUCGCAUUUUUAACUUCUCAAGCUUGGACUGAUACGGACAUCUAAUACUCAAGAGUUGAAGCCCUUGAUUUGGUACACAUCCAAAGGCAAUGAUUUUGAGUUAAUAUUUUCUUCCUUUUCUGUAGCUAUUUCAAUUAAUAAAUCAACUAUGUUAUUUACCAAUGGAGUUCUAUAGUCCCCAUACAUUUGUCUUGUUGCAAUCAUAUAUAAAAAAAAAUUGACUAUGUUUGAUGUCUUCGUUGUCCAUAAUUUGUUUUAUUGAUAAAUGAAUGAUGUUAUACUAUUGUUUAUAUCUUGUAAUUUUGUAAUAUGUAUUUAGGUUUGUGUUUUUGUUUUGUUGAAGUUAAUUUGUAUAAUUUGUUGAAGUUAAUUUUAAAAUGUUUUUUUAAAAUUAUUUUAAUUAUUAAAUUUUAAUAUUUUGAUUUUUUAAACAUUUAAAAUACGUUUUUUUUUUUUAAUUAUUCGUACACAUUUUGCCAGGGGUUAAUCCCUGGCAAUUUCCCUGGCAUGGUUUGAAAAGGACUGAUGUGACCAGAAUGCGUCAGAAAAGCCUGCAAUCAUGCAGACACAAUUUGCCAGGGGUUGAGCCAGGGCCUGUGCCAGGAGCGCAUUUGCCAGGAGCUAAACCCCUGGCAGGAUCAUUUGCGAUGAGCAGAUUUGCUGGUGAUUCUGCUCCUGGCAAAACUCCUGGCAAACGUCCAUUUGCCAAGGCUUUUUGCAUUUUGCCAGGGCUUCCGCCCCUGGCAAAUUACCAGAUUUCUUGUAGUGAUUCUUGUUAUUUUAGAUUAUGUUUAUUGUUUACUUGUUUAUAGUAGUUAACUUAUGUUAAAGCACCUGUCAAUCCAUGAUCCUAGUUUCCUAUGAAGUGUCUUGGGUGUCAAGUUUUAAUUCAAACUUCUUUUUAAACUAUAUGAAUCGAAUCAUGAUUCGAUUCGUUGGUGUUCUCUAUUAUGUUCUUGGUUUUUUGUGACUUUUUUAAUUGGUUCAUAUACAACAAGAUUCAUACAUUUUGAUUCGAAACAAAAUAUUUUGAAAAUCCUUGAAUUGAUUCAUUUGUGGUCUCUACCCUUAUGUUUGAUGUGGUUGAUAUGUAUUAGUGUUCUUUGAUUUUAUUCAAUCUUCGUAUGAGCUUCAAUGAUUCGAUUCAUUCCCUUGCAUAUACAGUCUUUGAAUCGUAUCACUCUUCACAUCUUUAGAUAUUCCUAUUUUCACGUGUCUGAAUCAAUUUAUACUUAAUAUGAUUCAAACCAUGUCAUUAUUUUUUCCACUAAAAUUGCACUUAUCACUCAUGCCUAUAUAUAUAUAUAUCUUCUCAGACACACCUUCUAACUUAUUGAAUCAAAAUGCAAAUAUCACUCUUGAGUCGACAACCCUCUCUCUACUUAUUCUUGAGAUUAAACACUUUUUCUAAGAUCUUUGUAGAAUUUGAGGCAUAGAUUGGUACGGUGCUAUAAGAGUUGUACAUCGGUUUCUUUCAAGGAACUUGAUUGAGGAUCAAGGGUCUAAAGGGAAAAAGGAUCUCUUUUCACCGUCAAGGAGAACUGUGGGGUACUUGUUUCUAAUCUUCUUAAAGGUUCAAGGAGAUCCAAGCUUCACACAUAGCAAAGAUCAAUUUGUGGUGAUCCAAUUUCAAGAGGACAAAAAGAUUGUUGGUAGUGUGGUCUCUUAGGAUUAAAGAUUAGGGAAUCGAAGGAAUCUUUUGUAAUCAUAAUAAUUUGUAAACAUUUUCCAACAUAGUGGAAGUAUUUGCUAGA